UCCUCAGUGCUUACAUCAUCAUUAGCCUCCUCAGAUUCCUCGGAUUCUUCUUCUUCGUCUUCUUCCUCUUCUUCAUCUCGUUCUUUAAGAUUAUAUCUAUUUGCACAUCCAUCGCAUACGGAAACAGUGCGGCCGAGUUUAGCACCGCAAGCUUUCCAGCGAGUUAGAAAUUGACAAAUCUGGCAUAGGAGGCUGCGCGUGUGUCGAGUGACCAGAAAGUUGGCUCCGUGAACUUUAGCAUCGCAAUCCCAGCAGAGGCAGGCCUCGUCGGCUUCACAGUAGCUUCUCGCCGGGAACUUGCAAAGCUCGCACUUCUUCAUCUUCUCAAUAUGUGAGUUUUUUUUAAUCUCUAUUUUAUUAGAAAUUAAAAUUAAAAUUAAGUUUAAGUUUUCUACUUUCCCCGUUCUUCAUUUACUUUCAGUAUGUCGGG
rnacentral:misc_RNA from 1 species